UGCAAGUCACUCCAAUGUGGGUACCGAUUAUAAUGCCUGUAGUGGAUGUUCUGCUCUGUUCAUCUUUCACACAGUCACAUGGGCCAUCCAGCACUGAAGAAACAAAGCACACAUUGCAGUUGUUGGUCAGGGAGGGCCUCUCGAAGUGAAACAAAUCUCAAGGUGGCAUUCCCGUCCCCAUGUUGGUUGUAUGCAAGAACCUUUAUCUCAUAGACCAGCGAAGAAUCUGGACAGAGUUAUUCGGAAGAGGAUAUCUUUUCUGAGCUGAAAAUUAAACCUUUAUUGAUAAGUCUUCAAAUCUUUUUAAUAGCUGAUUCUUUGUUAUUACAGAGUCAUGGAGGUCUCAUGACAAAAACACAUUUGCUUUGAUACAUAACUGACCCAAGGUGUCAAAGCAUUGUUGCCAUGAUGACAGAUGUCCAAAUCAGGACAUUUACCAAGCACUAUAGGAAAAAUUGGUGCUAGCUCACAGAUUGUUUUACAGUUUGUUUCCUCUGCUGCUUUGUUUGUUGGCAGACUGCAGCCUCGUAUGUCAUCUCCUCAGACAAAGUUGCAUUUAAUUGCUAAGUGAACAAAUGAACGAAAAUUAGAUUUCCUUGUCUGUAGCUUGGUAAAGUUUCCCAAAAGGGCAGCUUACACAGUGAACAAAAGUGUGUUUGUUUUUUAUGUUUGCUUCAGUUAUGUUUGUUUAAGGUAAAAAAUGACUUGAUUUUAA